rfam:Aedes albopictus isolate Foshan contig5476, whole genome shotgun sequence.
UGUUCUGUGGCGAAGUUGGUUAACGCACCCUGUCUAGCGAACUUGGGGAGACGUGGGUUCAAAUCCCACCAGAACUA